rnacentral:rRNA from 1 species
CCUACGGGUGGCAGCAGUGGGGAAUAUUGCACAAUGGGGGAAACCCUGAUGCAGUAACGCCGCGUGAAGGAUGACGGUUUUCGGAUUGUAAACUUCUGUUCUUAGUGAAGAAUAAUGUCGGUAGCUAAGGAGCAAGCCACGGCUAACUACGUGCCAGCAGCCGCGGUAAUAUGUAGGUGGCAAGCGUUGUCCGGAAUUACUGGGUGGAAAGGGAGCGCAGGCGGGAAGGCAAGUCAGCUGUGAAAACUACGGGCUUAACUUGUAGACUGUAGUUGAAACUGGUUUUCUUGAGUGAAGUAGAGGUAAGCGGAAGUCCGAGUGUAGCGGUGAAAUGCGUAGAUAUUCGGAGGAACACCAGUGGCGAAGGCGGCCAACUGGGCUUUAACUGACGCUGAGGCUCGAAAGUGUGGGGAGCAAACAGGAUUAGAUACCCGAGGAGUC